CAGCCGCCGCGGUAACACGGAGGGGGCUAGCGUUGUUCGGAAUUACUGGGCGUAAAGAGCUCGUAGGCGGUCUGUCGCGUCUGCUGUGAAGACCCGAGGCUCAACCUCGGGCCUGCAGUGGGUACGGGCAGACUAGAGUGCGGUAGGGGAGAUUGGAAUUCCUGGUGUAGCGGUGGAAUGCGCAGAUAUCAGGAGGAACACCGAUGGCGAAGGCAGAUCUCUGGGCCGUAACUGACGCUGAGGAGCGAAAGCGUGGGGAGCAAACAGGAUUAGAUACCCCCGUAGUCCCUGUCUCUUAUAC
rnacentral:rRNA from 1 species